CAUCUUACCGGGCAGCAUUAGAGUCUUACCGUUAUUUUCUAAUACUGUCAGGUAAAGAUGUC
rnacentral:pre_miRNA from 1 species